rnacentral:rRNA from 1 species
CCUACGGGGGACAGCAGUGAGGAAUAUUGGUCAAUGGGCGGAAGCCUGAACCAGCCAAGUCGCGUGAGGGAAUAAGGCCCUACGGGUCGUAAACCUCUUUUGCCGGGGAGCAAGGGCCGGGACGAGUCCCGGUCCGGAGAGUACCCGGAGAAAAAGCAUCGGCUAACUCCGUGCCAGCAGCCGCGGUAAUACGGAGGAUGCGAGCGUUAUCCGGAUUUAUUGGGUUUAAAGGGUGCGUAGGCGGGCUGUUAAGUCAGCGGUAAAAAUUCGGGGCUCAACCCCGUCCGGCCGUUGAAACUGGGGGCCUUGAGUGGGCGAGAGGAAGGCGGAAUGCGUGGUGUAGCGGUGAAAUGCAUAGAUAUCACGCAGAACCCCGAUUGCGAAGGCAGCCUUCCGGCGCCCUACUGACGCUGAGGCACGAAAGUGCGGGGAUCGAACAGGAUUAGAUACCCGAGUAGUC